AGUGAACGCUGGCGGUAGGCCUAACACAUGCAAGUCGAACGGCAGCACAGUAAGAGCUUGCUCUUACGGGUGGCGAGUGGCGGACGGGUGAGGAAUACAUCGGAAUCUACUUUUUCGUGGGGGAUAACGUAGGGAAACUUACGCUAAUACCGCAUACGACCUACGGGUGAAAGCAGGGGAUCUUCGGACCUUGCGCGAUUGAAUGAGCCGAUGUCGGAUUAGCUAGUUGGCGGGGUAAAGGCCCACCAAGGCGACGAUCCGUAGCUGGUCUGAGAGGAUGAUCAGCCACACUGGAGCUGAGACACGGUCCAGACUCCUACGGGAGGCAGCAGUGGGGAAUAUUGGGCAAUGGGCGCAAGCCUGAUCCAGCCAUACCGCGUGGGUGAAGAAGGCCUUCGGGUUGUAAAGCCCUUUUGUUGGGAAAGAAAAGCAGCAGGUUAAUACCCCGCUGUUCUGACGGUACCCAAAGAAUAAGCACCGGCUAACUUCGUG
rnacentral:rRNA from 1 species